GGUCGCGAUCAUAACAGCACUAAUGCACCGGAUCCUAUCAGAACUCCGCAGUCAAGCGUGCUUGGGCGAGAUUUGUACUAGGAUGGGUGACCCCCCUGGGAAGUCCUCGUGUUGCAACCCCG
rnacentral:rRNA from 1 species